CCUGGUGGCGAGUGGCGAACGGGUGAGUAAUACAUCGGAACGUGUCCUGUAGUGGGGGAUAGCCCGGCGAAAGCCGGAUUAAUACCGCAUACGCUCUGCGGAGGAAAGCGGGGGAUCCUUCGGGACCUCGCGCUACAGGGGCGGCCGAUGGCAGAUUAGCUAGUUGGUGGGGUAAAGGCCUACCAAGGCGACGAUCUGUAGCUGGUCUGAGAGGACGACCAGCCACACUGGGACUGAGACACGGCCCAGACUCCUACGGGAGGCAGCAGUGGGGAAUUUUGGACAAUGGGCGAAAGCCUGAUCCAGCAAUGCCGCGUGUGUGAAGAAGGCCUUCGGGUUGUAAAGCACUUUUGUCCGGAAAGAAAACCUCCGCCCUAAUACGGUGGGGGGAUGACGGUACCGGAAGAAUAAGCACCGGCUAACUACGUGCCAGCAGCCGCGGUAAUACGUAGGGUGCAAGCGUUAAUCGGAAUUACUGGGCGUAAAGCGUGCGCAGGCGGUCCGCUAAGACAGAUGUGAAAUCCCCGGGCUUAACCUGGGAACUGCAUUUGUGACUGGCGGGCUAGAGUAUGGCAGAGGGGGGUAGAAUUCCACGUGUAGCAGUGAAAUGCGUAGAGAUGUGGAGGAAUACCGAUGGCGAAGGCAGCCCCCUGGGCCAAUACUGACGCUCAUGCACGAAAGCGUGGGGAGCAAACAGGAUUAGAUACCCUGGUAGUCCACGCCCUAAACGAUGUCAACUAGUUGUCGGGUCUUCAUUGACUUGGUAACGUAGCUAACGCGUGAAGUUGACCGCCUGGGGAGUACGGUCGCAAGAUUAAAACUCAAAGGAAUUGACGGGGACCCGCACAAGCGGUGGAUGAUGUGGAUUAAUUCGAUGCAACGCGAAAAACCUUACCUACCCUUGACAUGUAUGGAAUCCUGCCGAGAGGUGGGAGUGCCCGAAAGGGAGCCAUAACACAGGUGCUGCAUGGCUGUCGUCAGCUC
rnacentral:rRNA from 1 species